rnacentral:rRNA from 1 species
AGUUGGGCACUCUAAGUUGACUGCCGGUGACAAACCGGAGGAAGGUGGGGAUGACGUCAAAUCAUCAUGCCCCUUAUGAUUUGGGCUACACACGUGCUACAAUGGACAAUACAAAGGGCAGCAAAACCGCGAGGUCAAGCAAAUCCCAUAAAGUUGUUCUCAGUUCGGAUUGUAGUCUGCAACUCGACUACAUGAAGCUGGAAUCGCUAGUAAUCGUAGAUCAGCAUGCUACGGUGAAUACGUUCCCGGGUCUUGUACACACCGCCCGUCACACCACGAGAGUUUGUAACACCCGAAGCCGGUGGAGUAACCAUUU